AGUGAACGCUGGCGGUAGGCCUAACACAUGCAAGUCGAACGGCAGCACGGUAAGAGCUUGCUCUUACGGGUGGCGAGUGGCGUACGGGUGAGGAAUCCAUCGGAAUCUACUUUUUCGUGGGGGAUAACGUAGGGAAACUUACGCUAAUACCGCAUAUGACCUACGGGUGAAAGCAUGGGAUCUUCGGACCUUGCGCGAUUGAAUGAGUCGAUGUCGGGUUUGCUAGUUGGCGGGGUAAAGGCCUAGCAAGGCGAUGAUCCGUCGCGGGUCUGAGAGGGUGGGAGGGCACACUGGAACUGGGACACGGUCCAGACCACUCUGGGACGGGACGGUGCGGAAUAUUGGACAAUGGACGGAGGCCUAAGCCAGCCAAACCGCGUGGGUUAAGAAGGGGUUCCGUUUGGAUAGCCCUUUUGUUGGGAGAGAAAAGCAGCAGGUGUAUAUCCGGCUGUGUUGACGGUACCUAGAGAAUAAGCGCCGGCUAACUUCGUG
rnacentral:rRNA from 1 species